rnacentral:rRNA from 1 species
UACGUAGGCAGCAAGCGUUGUUCGGAGUUACUGGGCGUAAAGGGUGCGUAGGCGGUUUGGUAAGUCUCGUGUGAAAUCUCCGGGCUCAACUCGGAGCCUGCACGAGAAACUGCCGGGCUUGAGUGUGGGAGAGGUGAGUGGAAUUCCUGGUGUAGCGGUGAAAUGCGUAGAUAUCAGGAGGAACACCUGUGGCGAAAGCGGCUCACUGGACCAUAACUGACGCUGAUGCACGAAAGCUAGGGGAGCAAACAGG